UAGGGAAUCUUCGGCAAUGGACGAAAGUCUGACCGAGCAACGCCGCGUGAGUGAAGAAGGUUUUCGGAUCGUAAAACUCUGUUGUUAGAGAAGAACAAGGACGUUAGUAACUGAACGUCCCCUGACGGUAUCUAACCAGAAAGCCACGGCUAACUACGUGCCAGCAGCCGCGGUAAUACGUAGGUGGCAAGCGUUGUCCGGAUUUAUUGGGCGUAAAGCGAGCGCAGGCGGUUUCUUAAGUCUGAUGUGAAAGCCCCCGGCUCAACCGGGGAGGGUCAUUGGAAACUGGGAGACUUGAGUGCAGAAGAGGAGAGUGGAAUUCCAUGUGUAGCGGUGAAAUGCGUAGAUAUAUGGAGGAACACCAGUGGCGAAGGCGGCUCUCUGGUCAGUAACUGACGCUGAGGAUCGAAAGCGUGGGGAGCAAACAGG
rnacentral:rRNA from 1 species